rnacentral:rRNA from 1 species
GCUACGUGGGGCAGCAGUGAGGAAUAUUGGUCAAUGGACGAGAGUCUGAACCAGCCAAGUAGCGUGAAGGAUGACUGCCCUAUGGGUUGCAAACUUCUUUUAUAAAUGAAUAAAACGAGGCACGUGUGCCUUUUUGCAUGUACUUUAUGAAUAAGGAUCGGCUAACUCCGUGCCAUCAGCCGCGGUAAUACGGAGGAUCCGAGCGUUAUCCGUAUUUCUUGGGUUUAAAGGGAGCGUAGAUGGGUUGUUAAGUCAGUUGUGAAAGUUUGCGGAUCAAACGUAAAAUUGCAAUUGAUACUGGCAGUCUUGAGUACAGGUGAGGUAGGCGGAAUUCGUGGUGUAGCGGUGAAAU